AUUGAACGCUGGCGGCAGGCCUAACACAUGCAAGUCGAACGAGUGGCGGACGGGUGAGUAAUGUCUGGGAAACUGCCCGAUGGAGGGGGAUAACUACUGGAAACGGUAGCUACUACCGCAUACCAUCGGAUGUGCCCAGAUGGGAUUAGCUAGUAGGUGGGGUAACGGCUCACCUAGGCGCCGAUCCCUAGCUGGUCUGAGAGGACGGCCAGCCACACUGGGACUGAGAAACGGCCCAGACUCCUACGGGAGGCAGCAGUGGGGACUUUUGGACAAUGGGGGAAAUCCUGAUCCAGCCAUCCCGCGUGUGCGAUGAAGGCCUUCGGGUUGUAAAGUACUUUCAGCGAGGAGGCGUUACUCGCAGAAGAAGCACCGGCUAACUCCGUGCCAGCAGCCGCGGUAAUAC
rnacentral:rRNA from 1 species